CACAGGGCUAGGAAGUGGUGGGGCUCAGAUUCAACUUUUCUGCCUCCUGGACAGCAGUAAAAUACAAAGUAUAUACUUGUUUGGUAGGAGGUCAUGGAGUAGAAGCAGCUUGGGCUGGUGGCAGAAAUGGUCGGGAAGUCAUGGACUGAUUCUUCCCACUGGUUGAAGAUCUUCUGUCACCAAGAGGAUUAUUCUAUCUAGUUACCGUCAAAGAAAACAAUCCAGAAGAAAUUUUGGAAGCAAUGACAAGAGGUCUACAAGGAACUAUUGCACUUUCCAGGCAAGCAGGCCAAGAACUCCUUUCAGUCCUGAACUUCACCAAGUCCUCACUUACAAUGUGUGCUGUGUAUUAUGCUGGAUAUGUAUAUAUUGAUAAUAUAUAUUAUAUUGAAUAUACAUAUAUAUGAAUAUAUAUAUAGAGAGAAGCUGAAUGUAUUUGGCAUAUUUUGAAACUGAAGUCAUUUCUUGGUUAACAAGUGGAAUUGUCAGGUUAUAUAGAAAAAGGUAUGAAGAGGGGUGCCUGGGUGGCUCAGUGGGUUAAGCCUCUGCCUUCGGCUCAGGUCAUGGUCUCAGAGUCCUGGGAUCAAGCCCCACAUCAGGCUCUCUGCUCAGCAGGGAGCCUGCUUCCCCCUC